rnacentral:tRNA from 2 species
CCUUCGAUAGCUCAGUUGGAAGAGCGUGGGACUGUAAUGGUUAUUAUCGCGAUCCCAAGGUCACUGGUUCGAUCCCGGUUCGAAGGA